rnacentral:rRNA from 1 species
CUACGGGACGCUCCAGUGAGGAAUAUUGCACAAUGGGGGGAACCCUGAUGCAGCAACGCCGCGUGGAGGAUGACGCAUUUCGGUGUGUAAACUCCUUUUAUAUGUCAAGAAAAUGACGGUAGCAUAUGAAUAAGCACCGGCUAACUCCGUGCCAGCAGCCGCGGUAAUACGGAGGGUGCAAGCGUUACUCGGAAUCACUGGGCGUAAAGGACGCGUAGGCGGGUUGGAAAGCCAGGUGUGAAAUCCUACAGCUUAACUGUAGAACUGCACUUGAAACUUCUAAUCUAGAGUAUGGGAGGGGAGAUGGAAUUAGUGGUGUAGGGGUAAAAUCCGUAGAUAUCACUAGGAAUACCUAAAGCGAAGGCGAUCUCCUGGAACAUUACUGACGCUAAGGCGUGAAAGCGUGGGGAGCAAACAGGAUUAGAUACCCUAGUAGUC